GAAUAUUGGACAAUGGGCGAAAGCCUGAUCCAGCCAUGCCGCGUGAGUGAAGAAGGCCUUCGGGUUGUAAAGCUCUUUUGUUGGGAAAGAAAAGCAGCCGGUUAAUACCCGGUUGUUCUGACGGUACCCAAAGCAUAAGCACCGGCUAACUUCGUGCCAGCAGCCGCGGUAAUACGAAGGGUGCAAGCGUUACUCGGAAUUACUGGGCGUAAAGCGUGCGUAGGUGGUUCGUUAAGUCUGAUGUGAAAGCCCUGGGCUCAACCUGGGAAUUGCAUUGGAUACUGGCGGGCUAGAGUACGGUAGAGGGUGGCGGAAUUCCUGGUGUAGCAGUGAAAUGCGUAGAUAUCAGGAGGAACAUCCGUGGCGAAGGCGGCCACCUGGACCAGUACUGACACUGAGGCACGAAAGCGUGGGGAGCAAACAG
rnacentral:rRNA from 1 species